GCGGCUGCAAGGGGGAAGGGGCUAGCGCCUCCCUUCCUUUCUUUCCUUUUAUGGACUGGUGGCAAGAAACCCUAGGGUUUCUUGCUCCUGGUGCAUGGAAGAUUAUUGGAGAGAGAGGGAGAAGAGAGAGAGACUUGGGAGAAAGAGUUCUUCUAUUACUUGGCUCAAUCAAACCUAUACAAGUACAUGUAUAUAUGAACACCGGGUCAAGUGACCCAAACCCAAAACUCCCUUGACCAACUCUAUGGGAGAU
rnacentral:lncRNA from 1 species